UACGGGGGGGGCAAGCGUUGUUCGGAAUUACUGGGCGUAAAGGGCGCGUAGGCGGCCAUCUAAGUCAGACGUGAAAUCCCUCGGCUCAACCGAGGAACUGCGUCUGAUACUGGAAGGCUUGAAUCCGGGAGAGGGAUGUGGAAUUCCAGGUGUAGCGGUGAAAUGCGUAGAUAUCUGGAGGAACACCGGUGGCGAAGGCGGCAUCCUGGACCGGUAUUGACGCUGAGGCGCGAAAGCUAGGGGGAGCAAACGGGG
rnacentral:rRNA from 1 species